rnacentral:rRNA from 1 species
AUUCACUAGUGAUUACUCCUACGGGAGGCAGCAGUGGGGAAUAUUGGACAAUGGGGGGAACCCUGAUCCAGCCAUGCCGCGUGUGUGAAGAAGGCCUUAUGGUUGUAAAGCACUUUAAGCGAGGAGGAGGCUACUGAGACUAAUACUCUUGGAUAGUGGACGUUACUCGCAGAAUAAGCACCGGCUAACUCUGUGCCAGCAGCCGCGGUAAUACAGAGGGUGCGAGCGUUAAUCGGAUUUACUGGGCGUAAAGCGUGCGUAGGCGGCUUUUUAAGUCGGAUGUGAAAUCCCCGAGCUUAACUUGGGAAUUGCAUUCGAUACUGGGAAGCUAGAGUAUGGGAGAGGAUGGUAGAAUUCCAGGUGUAGCGGUGAAAUGCGUAGAGAUCUGGAGGAAUACCGAUGGCGAAGGCAGCCAUCUGGCCUAAUACUGACGCUGAGGUACGAAAGCAUGGGGAGCAAACAGGAUUAGAUACCCUGGUAGUCCAUGCCGUAAACGAUGUCUACUAGCCGUUGGGGCCUUUGAGGCUUUAGUGGCGCAGCUAACGCGAUAAGUAGACCGCCUGGGGAGUACGGUCGCAAGACUAAAACUCAAAUGAAUUGACGGGGGCCCGCACAAGCGGUGGAGCAUGUGGA